CGGGAAAUGGAGGCUUCGGUGGCAAGCAUAACCUGCUCAGAUGUCUAAAGUGGUUAAAGGAAUGUGGAUCACGUUAUAGGUGUUUGGUUUUUACCAUGACUGCUGAAUCGGUAACGACCUGUUCCAGAGCCACCGCUGGAUUCAGAAGGAGCUGGCAAAGGCCACUGGCAAAUGCCGUGAAGGAUUACGGCAGUGUGGAUGGCCGUCUUAAGGCCUGAGGCAGAGACUGAGGGUUCCUAUUCCAGAGUCAACAUUCAGGCCUUCAGCACCCGAAUGGACUAAGCUUACUGAAGUCACCGGCAGGUCUUCCAAGAUUUCCGAAAACGUACAACGUGGUGCGAUGUCUUCUGCGCGCGCGACAACGUUGUCUGCUCCUCUCCAUCUGUGUUUUAUCACG
rnacentral:lncRNA from 1 species